rnacentral:sRNA from 1 species
UCAGUUAAAACCUUUUGAGGCAUUGAGCUUCACCUGCGGUAAAAAGCCUUCCGUUUUUUGUAAAAUCAAAAAACUUUAAUCACAAAAGUGUAUCGAUAUCAGCAAACGAUUAUUCGUUUACCGGACCAAUAUUUAUUCUCUUGCAACUCACAUACCAGAGAUAAAUGGGUGCCUAUGAAAGGAACAUUGUGUUUGAUUUUAAACCAGUUUUCUUAAGGAAAAACACCACCAUCACAGAUGGCAACGAUGGUGUUCAAAGAUAAAAUUGAAUAUAAGUGUCACCCUACCCCAACAGCCAGCCCUAGAGAAAAUCCCCAUUGACCACACCGCAGCAAAACCGCCAAAACGAGCAAAUUUUUGAGUGAACAUCGUUUCCUUCAUUCCUUCAACAUCAGAGCCGUUAGAGCCCAAGUUGAUUACCCAUCUUUGUGACGCUGUACUUGAGAAUUACCUUCAGGGAAGCUCUGUGAAAAUUGUUAAACCAGUCUGGUGUGCAGCGGAUUUCUAAAAAUUGUAGAGGUUCUCUAAUUCAAAUUGAAAAAUGGAAUGAAAUUUGCUAAAAAUUGAUAAUAUUAAUAUACAAAAUAAA